rnacentral:rRNA from 1 species
UCCAUCGGUAGCUUGCUAUCAAUGGUGAGAGUGGCGCACGGGUGCGUAACGCGUGAGCAACCUGCCUCCAUCAGGGGGAUAGCCUCUCGAAAGAGAGAUUAACACCGCAUAACAUAUUUUACCGGCAUCGGACGAAUAUUAAAUAUUUAUAGGAUGGAGAUGGGCUCGCGUGACAUUAGCUUGUUGGUGGGGUAACGGCCCACCAAGGCGACGAUGUCUAGGGGCUCUGAGAGGAGAAUCCCCCACACUGGUACUGAGACACGGACCAGACUCCUACGGGAGGCAGCAGUAAGGAAUAUUGGUCAAUGGGCGGAAGCCUGAACCAGCCAUGCCGCGUGCAGGAUGACUGCCCUAUGGGUUGUAAACUGCUUUUGUCCGGGAAUAAACCUCCUUACGAGUAGGGAGCUGAAUGUACCGGAAGAAUAAGGAUCGGCUAACUCCGUGCCAGCAGCCGCGGUAAUACGGAGGAUCCGAGCGUUAUCCGGAUUUAUUGGGUUUAAAGGGUGCGUAGGCGGCCUGUUAAGUCAGGGGUGAAAUACGGUGGCUCAACCAUCGCAGUGCCUUUGAUACUGACGGGCUUGAAUCCAUAUGAAGUGGGCGGAAUAAGACAAGUAGCGGUGAAAUGCAUAGAUAUGUCUUAGAACUCCGAUU